rnacentral:rRNA from 1 species
ACUCCUACGGGAGGCAGCAGUGAGGAAUAUUGGUCAAUGGAGGGAACUCUGAACCAGCCAUCCCGCGUGUAGGAAGACGGCCUUAUGGGUUGUAAAUCUUACUUUUAUAACAGGAACGAAACGUACCCUCGGUGCAGGGUGACCUGACGUACUGUAGGAAUAAGCACGGCUAACUCCGUGCCAGCAGCCGCGGUAAUACGGAGGGUGCGAGCGUUAUCCGGAUUUAUUGGGUUUAAAGGGUCCGUAGGCGGGUUAAUAAGUCAGUGGUGAAAUCCCAUCGCUUAACGAUGGAACUGCCAUUGAUACUGUUAGUCUUGAAUGAGGGUGCAGUGGUUGGAAUGUGUAUGUAGCGGGUGAAAUGCAUAGAUAUUACACAGAACACCGAUUGCGAAGGCAGAUCACUAACCCUAAAUUGACGCUGAGGGACGAAAGCGUGGGGAGCGAACAGGAUUAGAUACCCUGGUAGCUACGAG